GACGUAGGGCGCGAGCGUUGUCCGGAUUUAUUGGGCGUAAAGAGCUCGUAGGCGGUGUGUCACGUCGGCCGUGAAAACCCGCGGCUCAACUGUGGGCGGGCAGCUGAUACGGGCAGGCUGGAGUUCGGUAGGGGAGACUGGAAUUCCUGGUGUAGCGGUGAAAUGCGCAGAUAUCAGGAGGAACACCGGUGGCGAAGGCGGGUCUCUGGGCCGAUACUGACGCUGAGGAGCGAAAGCGUGGGGAGCGAACAGG
rnacentral:rRNA from 1 species